UUUAUCUUUUUAAUAGUGCGAACUUUGGAAUAUUAGGUCAUUUUUUAAUUAAAAAGUUCAACCCAGUUGAACUACAUUUCGAUCAAUUGAACCUUGAACCAAUAAGCAAACAGAUUUGAUGAUCGGUCGGUUUUGUUACCUUUUGUAAAAGAAAAAUCUAAAAAAAACUGUAACAAUUCUCAUAACCUCUUUACAAACACGAAUGGAACAACUAGCGAUUUUAAUGGUGUUUUCAAAUGGAAUGAAUCGCUUUGAUCUGAUCUGUGACAACCAAAAGUCGUAAUAAUAUAUAUAAGGGAAAU
rnacentral:lncRNA from 1 species